GCUGGCGGCGUGCUUAACACAUGCAAGUCGAGUGCGCGGUUGUAGCAAUACAACUGGCGCACGGCGCACGGGUGCGUAACACGUGGGCAAUCUGCCCUUCGAUGGGGAAUAACUCCGGGAAACCGAAGCUAAUUCCGCAUAACAUUCCUUGGACUUCGGUUCGAGGAUUCAAAGCCGUAAGGCGUCGAAGGAGGAGCCCGCGCACGAUUAGCUAGUUGGUAGGGUAACGGCCUACCAAGGCUUUGAUCGUUAGCUGGUCUGAGAGGAUGGCCAGCCACACUGGAACUGAGACACGGUCCAGACUCCUACGGGAGGCAGCAGUGGGGAAUCUUGCACAAUGGGCGAAAGCCUGAUGCAGCGACGCCGCGUGGGGGAUGAAGCAUCUCGGUGUGUAAACCCCUUUCGACCCGGACGAAUGCCUCGCAAGAGGAGUGACGGUACGGGUAUAAGAAGCCCCGGCUAACUACGUGCCAGCAGCCGCGGUAAGACGUAGGGGGCCA
rnacentral:rRNA from 1 species